rnacentral:rRNA from 1 species
UAGCCCACGCCGUAAACGAUGUUCACUCGCUGUCUGCGAUACACAGUAGGCGGCUUAGCGAAAGCAUUAAGUGAACCACCUGGGGAGUACGAUCGCAAGGUUGAAACUCAAAGGAAUUGACGGGGGCCCGCACAAGCGGAGGAACAUGUGGUUUAAUUCGAUGAUACGCGAGGAACCUUACCUGGGCUUAAAUGUAGAUUGCAUAUCUUAGAGAUAGGAUUUUCCUUCGGGACUAUCUACAAGGUGCUGCAUGGUUGUCGUCAGCUCGUGCCGUGAGGUGUCGGGUUAAGUCCCAUAACGAGCGCAACCCCUAUCGUUAGUUGCUAGCAGGUAAUGCUGAGGACUCUAGCGAGACUGCCACCGUAAGGUGAGAGGAAGGUGGGGAUGACGUCAAGUCAGCAUGCCCUUAGUCUGGGGCUACACACGUACUACAAUGGGUUGGGACAAAGGGGCA